CACCAUCAUCGCCUCGUGGCAGUUCCUGGUCUGAACUGGCAGGUUUUCUCUUGAUUCUGGACCUCUGGAGAAGGAAAUGACUGUGGAAACAAGCAUGAGCAAAGGCCCUGAACUCUGAAUAUGUAUUAUCCAAUGGUACCCACCUUCCCUUGCAGUCCAGGAACAAAUGUGUGACCUUGGUUUGACAGCUGCUGUUUGUUUUCCAGUCAACCAAAGCUUGCAGUAAGGAUUUCUCAGGACAAUUUGAAAAUUAGAUUAAAAGUGGAAGACCAAUGGUAUCUUUUUACCUUGGAAUCCAUUGUCUGUAGCUUUUCUUUCUUGAAUUCCUGGGUGAGUGAUCUAGAGGCAAAGAUUAUUUUCUAAUAAUCUUUGACUUCUUUACCUGCUUUCUAGCUAAAAAUGCACCUUGUAACAUGCAAAGCCUUGCAGACUGGUUUUGGUGUGAAAGUGUAUUUGAGAAGAGACUGGAAACUGUUUCCACAAGUGAAAAAACUGAUUUACACUUAAACAGAGAGUUUAUUCAGAAAGGAAGUUUACCUAGGGUAAAUGCUGGGUGGGAAUGUUCUUUGAAAGGAUGUUAAUUGUACCUUGGUUCAAAGAACUCCUUGAAAUUCCUGUAAUGCAAUUAUGCUAAGUUAGAGGAAGUUAAAGGAUUGUGUAUUGGCAAAAAUGCAGUUAAAAUCCCAGCUGAAGUCAUGUGUCAGAAGUGCUAUUGAUGAUAACAUUGACACCUGCCUCAGAUAACUUCAAAGCCUGUGCUCUCUGUACGAACCUAAGUUCACUGAGCUCAGCUAGCAAAAGGACAAACCCAGACAGAGAAACCGGUCCAGACCUCCAAGAAGUGCAAAUGGAGCUAUGCCACUUAACAACAGCACAUCAAACCCCAGCUCAGCACCUUUUAACACAGAGGACACAAUGGUGAGCUCUACCAAAUGAAACCCAACAUCUGUGGACCUGCAGCUGUUCAUCACAGACAGAAAGGGAUCUCUGUGACUAUCUGCUUUCUCCAUGCUGGUAGGAAAAAUGAGAUUGCUCUGUGUGAGUUUCUGAGGAAAGACAGAGUAAAAAAGACAAGUUCCACAUGGGUUUCUGAAAGCACUGAGGUUCUAAGGUUUCUGAUGUCUUCUGGGCGUGAGUUCCACCCUUGUAGGGGGGCCUUCUUCAGACAGAAUGGCGGCAGGCUUUUUUUCUGUCCCACAAAGUACUUAGGAAAUAAUAAUGAAGUCUGAACUGAUGAAGGCACCCAGAACUUUACCUUUGGCAGGAAAACUCAUUGCUCUGUGUAUGACCCAGGGUUUUGUAAACUGCUGUUUAACAAAAAUGUUUAUGCAUUUUGAGUCUGCCUUGAUAAUUUCUCUCCUUUCAAACAUAAAUCCCAUAUUUGAUUAAUUGCUGCUCUGUUUGCCCAGUUCUGUGAAAUGACAAGCUAGGGAUGAGAAGCCCUAAGAUCACUCACCCUGUUGGGAUUUGGCUUCAAUAAGAGUGUCUUAGCAGAAGUCCAAAUAAUGGAAAUAUUAGUAAAUACAUUAUUAACCUUUUUAGGUUAAUAAUCCCUUUUUAGAGGAUUUCAGAUUUUAAAAAUAAGGUGGGAAAGGGCUAGAUUUUUCUGCCCAAAGCAAUUCUAAUUAUUUGGUUCAAUGUCUGCCCUGUCACAGAGGCUCUACGUUUGGAUUCUCGUCCUUUGAUUUCCCCCUCUGCACACAAACUGAAACAUUCAGUAGUUCCCACCUCAGUCACAACUAUAUUUUCCUUUUUUGAGGAAGUCAGGAGUGGGAAAGUUGCAGAGCAGUCUGGGUAUUCCAGAACUCAGUUUGGAGUUCCCCUGCAGGCGAGUAACAUAACAAGAUUUAGGACUACAGAGCUCUCCCAGCUCCUUUAGCAGAGAUGCAUCAAGCUUUGUCCCUCAAAUGCUAAGGAACCCAGGUCCUCACUCUCUAGAUUCAGUCUCUUUUUGGUACCCUCCUCAGCACUGAGUUCUGUCCAUAGCAUAACUUAAAGAGUGAGAGCCGUGGACUUCAUUUGAGGAAAUAAUGGAGGAUUUCAGAAUUUAGAAUUUUGCAAGGGAUAAUACUACUUCUUGCUCAUACUGUCUUGUGUGUGUACACACGCCAGAGGUGCUUCUGAUCUGUUAUUGAAAUGAAUUCUCAGUGAAAAAUCAUGUAAGUGUAGUGAAGAGGAGAAAAAACAUCACAAAUUCUCCUAUAGUGGAACUGAAAAAUAUGGAAUCAUAGAAUCCAGGUGACAAAAAUAGCUUAAUAUUUUAUGUAGUGCGCUGUGGUUAAUCCUUGUUCUCACAGUAUAUUUUAUUUAGAAUCACUGCAGAAUUCCUCUUCGGAUUUUUCUCCCUGAAAUUAGACUGUAAUGAUAUGCUUCAGACCUCACAGGAGC